GUCUACGGCCAUACCACCCUGAACGCGCCCGAUCUCGUCUGAUCUCGGAAGCUAAGCAGGGUCGGGCCUGGUUAGUACUUGGAUGGGAGGAAUAAACAUGUAUAGAAAUUC
rfam:Canis lupus familiaris chromosome 4, whole genome shotgun sequence.